AUUGAACGCUGGCGGCAGGCCUAACACAUGCAAGUCGAACGAGUGGCGGACGGGUGAGUAAUGCCUGGGAAACUGCCUGAGGGAGGGGGAUAACUACUGGAAACGGUAGCUAAUACCGCAUACCAUCGGAUGUGCCCAGAUGGGAUUGGGUAGUAGGUGGGGUAACGGCUCACCUAGGCGACGAUCCCUAGCUGGUCUGAGAGGAUGACCAGCCAAACUGGAACUGUGACACGGUCCAUACUCCUACGGGAGGCAGCAGUGGGGAAUAUUGGACAAUGGGCGCAAGCCUGAUGCAGCCAUGCCGCAUGUAUGAAGAAGGCCUUCGGGUUGUAAAGUACUUUCAGCGGGGAGGCGUUACCCGCAGAAGAAGCACCGGCUAACUCCGUGCCAGCAGCCGCGGUAAUUC
rnacentral:rRNA from 1 species